rnacentral:rRNA from 1 species
AGCGAACGCUGGCGGCAGGCCUAAUACAUGCAAGUCGAGCGGCCGUAGCAAUACGGCAGCGGCAGACGGGAGAGUAACACGUGGGAACGUACCUUUCGGUUCGGAACAACCCAGGGAAACUUGGGCUAAUACCGGAUACGUCCGUAAGGAGAAAGAUUUAUCGCCGAAAGAUCGGCCCGCGCCUGAUUAGCUUGUUGGUGAGGUAACGGCUCACCAAGGCGACGAUCAGUAGCUGGUCUGAGAGGAUGAUCAGCCUCACUGGGACUGAGACACGGCCCAGACUCCUACGGGAGGCAGCAGUAGGGAAUAUUGGACAAUGGGCGCAAGCCUGAUCCAGCCAUGCCGCGUGAGUGAUGAAGGCCCUAGGGUUGUAGAGCUCUUUCGGCGGGGAAGAUAAUGACGGUACCCGCAGAAGAAGCCCCGGCUAACUUCGUGCCAGCAGCCGCCGUAA